GAUUCCCCUAGUAACGGCGAGUGAAGCGGGAAGAGCUCAAGCUUAAAAUCUCCGUGCAAGUUUUGUGCGGCGAAUUGUAGUCUAUAGAAGCGUGGUCAGCAUGGGCACUUGGGGCAAGUUCCUUGGAAGAGGACAGCAUGGAGGGUGAUACUCCCGUUCAUUUCUGAGUUGCUCGUGCGUACGACCCGUUUUCUUUGAGUCGCGUUGUUUGGGAAUGCAGCGCAAAGUAGGUGGUAAAUUCCAUCUAAAGCUAAAUAUUGGUGCGAGACCGAUAGCGAACAAGUACCGUGAGGGAAAGAUGAAAAGAACUUUGAAAAGAGAGUUAAAGAGUACCUGAAACUGCUGAAAGGGAACCGAAUCGUUUCCAGUGUCUAUAAUCCGUGGUAUAUUUCAUUGGCGAGUGUGUGCGUGCGUGUGCUGUGGCAGCGGCUUUUUUGGCUGCGCUCGGCGUGUGUGCUGUGUGUGCUUGCUGGUGCUCUGUGCUGCGGUGGGACGUCAAGGUCAGUUCGUAUGCUGCGGGAAAUGGCUGCCGAGGAGGUAGGGCUUACGCUUGCGUUUGUCUGUUAUAUCUUGGUGGACGAGUAGUCGCGGUUGGGACUGAGGUGCCUACAACGUGCUUUUGAGUGGGUUUGUGUCUCCGUGUGCGCCGUGUGCGGAUAGCUUGCUAUGCGUGUGUGGUUGUGUGUGGAUUGAUGCGAGCUUUAACUUGUUGCCGUUCGGGACGUUGACGAAAUGGAGCGAUUCGACCCGUCUUGAAACACGGACCAAGGAGUCUAACAUGUGUGCAAGUGUUAGGUGUGGAAACCCCAGCGCGAAUGAAGUGAAGGGCAGCGUAA
rnacentral:rRNA from 1 species